rnacentral:snRNA from 9 species
AUACUUACCUGGCGUAUUGGAUACCGUGAACAUGCAUGCGGUUCCCCCAGGGCGAGGCUUCUCCAUUGCACUGCGGAGUGGUUGACCCUUGCGAUAAUUUUUUCAAAAUAAAUGUAUACCCGAAUAAUUAUUUUCAUUAUACCUUGAAUAGAACUUAAAAUAAAUAUUUUUAUAAUACGGAAUUUCGUUCCUCUCCGGU